rnacentral:rRNA from 1 species
CUAGUGGCGCACGGGUGCGUAACGCGUGGGAAUCUGCCCUUAGGUACGGAAUAACUCAGAGAAAUUUGUGCUAAUACCGUAUGAUGUCGAAAGACCAAAGAUUUAUCGCCUAAGGAUGAGCCCGCGUAAGAUUAGCUAGCUGGUAAGGUAAAAGCUUACCAAGGCGACGAUCUUUAGCUGGUCUGAGAGGAUGAUCAGCCACACUGGGACUGAGACACGGCCCAGACUCCUACGGGAGGCAGCAGUGGGGAAUAUUGGACAAUGGGCGAAAGCCUGAUCCAGCAAUGCCGCGUGAGUGAUGAAGGCCUUAGGGUUGUAAAGCUCUUUUACCAGGGAUGAUAAUGACAGUACCUGGAGAAUAAGCUCCGGCUAACUCCGUGCCAGCAGCCGCGGUAAUACGGAGGGAGCUAGCGUUGUUCGGAAUUACUGGGCGUAAAGCGUACGUAGGCGGUUAUUCAAGUCAGAGGUGGAAGCCUGGAGCUCAACUCCAGA